GAUCAUGGCUCAGGACGAACGCUGGCGGCGUGCCUAACACAUGCAAGUCGAACGGAAGCAAAGAUUUCGGUUUUUGCUUUAGUGGCGAACGGGUGAGUAACGCGUGAGGAACCUGCCUUUCAGUGGGGGACAACAGUUGGAAACGACUGCUAAUACCGCAUAAUGCUUUUGGAUCGCAUGAUUUAAAAGCCAAAGAUUUAUUGCUGAAAGAUGGCCUCGCGUCUGAUUAGCUGGUUGGUGGGUAACGG
rnacentral:rRNA from 1 species